UCUUAACCGCCAGUCUGUCCAGGAUUGUCGAGCCAAUUGUCACGUUUUCUGUUAGAUUUUUCUGAAUUUGGUCGUCCUUAGGCACAUGUCCGGUUCUGGGUAGUCCAGUAAGUUCACGAAACCCAGCUACAUCAGAGUCUGUUUGCUGGUCAAUUGGUCAGAUACCAAAACAAACCCCCAGAUUUGCUGUGAGAUAAGAAACAGCUACAUUUCCCUAUACCUGGGAUAAUGAUUGGCUAAGGUGCACUGAUAUCAAGACAAAAUUCAGACAAAAAAAUAUCUAACAACUCUAAUACUGAGCUUUUACGCACAAUUCCGAAAAUGAAGAGGACAUACCCAUCUUUCGCCGACCAGUAGCCCUUCUUCCUAAACACACAGAGGGCCUAGAGUGCCUGUCAUUGGAUGACUCUGAAAUAGAGAUGCUGCUAAUAUCUGUGGCACAGCCACAACUGUGUUGGACAGAGGAGGCCCUUUGCCCUCAUAGAGAGCCUACAACUGAAACCCAUGGAGCUUAUGAAACCACCGAUUUAGCCCAGCAGGGCACACACCAGGAGCCCAGCCCCAUAGGUAAUAAGGUAAAUGAGAUAUGCAGCCAUGACUCUAUUAGAAAUGCAGCUCAGGCAGGAGGCCAUCCUUGCAGCAGUAUUCCAGUGGAGAUGAAAGGGGACACCUCAGCGCACCACAGCCAUGGCACACUAAACAGACAAAAAACAACUGAGUCCACAUCGCCACACCCUUCACAUAACGCGGCUUGUGAAGAAAACACAUUGGAGUCACUCAAUGCUUUGAGAAAGACGCAGAGAACUGAACCAAAUGGCUCUAUGAAAAAGCCACUACAAAAUAGUAAAACUGUUUUGUCUUUUGAGCCACUGGAGCACUGGGAUCUGGACCAGAUUCUUCUGACUCUUCAAACAGAUAGGCUCUUUUUAGGAAGCAGUGUGUCAGAUGAACCUAUGGAAGUACAACCAGGUAGACAAUAGGGUAACUCUAAGGUAUCACUGAUAUAGCUACUGCUGAACCAUUAUGAACCUAGCAUGUCAUUCACACUCAAUGCUAUUAUCAUAAUGAUAUAAUCAAUUCAUUCUCAAUUUGGUCACAGAUGGAGACAAUGUAAGGUCACAGGAUAAUAUAUUGGAGAGGCUGGCUGCUUUCUGCAGGACAGAAUAUAUGAUAAAGUUGUGUGGGUUUCACGAGUAUGAAUAAUGUCAUGAGUUAACAUGAACGUUUUGUUUACUGUUCAGACAAAAUGGUGGAUGGAGAAAGUAUUUCAAAAGGAUGGCAUUUGAGUUGCAGCCAAGCCGUCAGGAAGUGCCCACUGUUUAUAUUGAUUUGCGUAACCCUGAGCCUCCCACGAAAACAACCAGACCAUGCAACAGCACUUCAUCACAAUCCAUGAAACUGACCAACCCUAACCUACACGACGAAAACCCAUCUGAUGAGAAAACAGACAGUAAUAUACAGUCUGGAUUAGUGAAUGGAAAAUAGUAAAUAUUGCCUUGAAUAACAGACCCACUGUAAAGCUCAAAACAUUAUUACAUAGGUUUGUAAAUAUACUAUAAUGGCUCUGUGGCUGUGAACUAUGAAUUCAGUUUAACUCCUUCCUGAGUUCAUGUUGGUGUUUUUUCUUCUCCCAGGGAAGUAACUGGAAAGAGCCUGUUACUCAGAAUGUUACGCGAGGCGAACAGAAACAGGAGUGAGCCAGACAGGAAAGAUCCAGUUCCAGCAGAUUCUACAUGCAGAACCCCCAGAAGAGUGGCCUUGAAGGACAAGCUAACUGAGGCUAACAAUGAGAAAACAUCUCUGCUUCCAGAGGUGGACAACCAAACCACAUCUCUCACAAUGCAGCAUGACCAAAACAGGCUGCCAGUUGAGAGAACACCUGCUAUUCAGCAGAGUGCUACUACCGGGCAGCCAAAGAAACAAAGACAUUCUUUUGAGCCGUCCUCCCCUCAGCAGCCUCCACUGGUGGCUGAACACCUGUUUUGUGACCUGUCAGUGACCAAGAGCAGAGAGAGCAACAGAAACAGAGAGCAGCAGCUCCAGAAACAUCUGGAAAGCUUUAGACCAACCAGGUCUGCAGGAGACAGGGAGCCUGCCGCUGAGAAGACUGAUGUUCUUUAUGACACUGAGGCCUCUCACCUACAGUCAGUUAACACUCUGCCUGCUGAUAUGGACGAUAAGGAGUGCUUGCUGCUGACUGUAUGCCUCUGUCACACCCUGGCUAAUGGACUCUAUUUGUUGAGCCAGAGUGUGUUUGUUCUAUGUGGUUAUGUCUAUGU